GACGAACGCUGGCGGCGUGCUUAACACAUGCAAGUCGAACGGAAAGGCCCUGCUUUUGUGGGGUGCUCGAGUGGCGAACGGGUGAGUAACACGUGAGUAACCUGCCCUUGACUUUGGGAUAACUUCAGGAAACUGGGGCUAAUACCGGAUAGGAUCUCCUGCUGCAUGGUGGGGGUUGGAAAUUUUCGGCGGUUGGGGAUGGACUCGCGGCUUAUCAGCUUGUUGGUGGGGUAGUGGCUUACCAAGGCUUUGAAGGGUAGCCGGCCGGAGAGGGUGACCGGCCACAUUGGGACUGAGAUACGGCCCAGACUCCUACGGGAGGCAGCAGUGGGGAAUAUUGCACAAUGGGCGGAAGCCUGAUGCAGCAACGCCGCGUGCGGGAUGACGGCCUUCGGGUUGUAAACCGCCUUCGCCUGUGACGAAGCGUGAGUGACGGUAAUGGGUAAAGAAGCACCGGCUAACUACGUG
rnacentral:rRNA from 1 species